GAUGAACGCUGGCGGCGUGCCUAAUACAUGCAAGUCGAGCGAACAGACGAGGAGCUUGCUCCUCUGACGUUAGCGGCGGACGGGUGAGUAACACGUGGAUAACCUACCUAUAAGACUGGGAUAACUUCGGGAAACCGGAGCUAAUACCGGAUAAUAUAUUGAACCGCAUGGUUCAAUAGUGAAAGACGGUUUUGCUGUCACUUAUAGAUGGAUCCGCGCCGCAUUAGCUAGUUGGUAAGGUAACGGCUUACCAAGGCAACGAUGCGUAGCCGACCUGAGAGGGUGAUCGGGCACACUGGAACUGAGACACGGUCCAGACUCCUACGGGAGGCAGCAGUAGGGAAUCUUCCGCAAUGGGCGAAAGCCUGACGGAGCAACGCCGCGUGAGUGAUGAUGGUCUUCGGAUCGUAAAACUCUGUUAUUAGGGAAGAACAAAUGUGUAAGUAACUAUGCACGUCUUGACGGUACCUAAUCAGAAAGCCACGGCUAACUACGUG
rnacentral:rRNA from 1 species